UACAGAGGGGGCAAGCGUUAAUCGGAAUUACUGGGCGUAAAGCGUGCGCAGGCGGUUAUAUAAGACAGAUGUGAAAUCCCCGGGCUCAACCUGGGACCUGCAUUUGUGACUGUAUAGCUAGAGUACGGUAGAGGGGGAUGGAAUUCCGCGUGUAGCAGUGAAAUGCGUAGAUAUGCGGAGGAACACCGAUGGCGAAGGCAAUCCCCUGGACCUGUACUGACGCUCAUGCACGAAAGCGUGGGGAGCAAACAGG
rnacentral:rRNA from 1 species